AUCUCUUCUUGGCCUUUUGGCUAAGAUCAAAUGCAGUAUCUGUUCUUAUCAAUUUAUUCCAACAUUACCCAUUUCACAAAUAUUUCCUGUAAAAUCUCUAAUAAGUACACUAGCAAAUCCCGACUGACUAAAGAGCAGCAAAGCCAAUCACAAUCUUUGGUUUUUCACUGCAUCUUUU
rnacentral:snRNA from 1 species